UCCGGCGUAGCUCAAUGGUGGAGCAUCCGGCUGUUAACCGGAGGGUUGUAGGUUCGAAUCCUACCCGCGGAGCAA
rnacentral:tRNA from 1 species